rnacentral:rRNA from 1 species
UACGGAGGGAGCUAGCGUUGUUCGGAAUUACUGGGCGUAAAGCGCACGUAGGCGGCUUUGCAAGUUAGAGGUGAAAGCCCGGGGCUCAACUCCGGAAUUGCCUUUAAAACUGCAUCGCUAGAGUUGUGGAGAGGUAAGUGGAAUUCCGAGUGUAGAGGUGAAAUUCGUAGAUAUUCGGAAGGACACCAGUGGCGAAGGCGACUUACUGGACAGAUACUGACGCUGAGGUGCGAAAGCGUGGGGAGCAAACAGG